UCAAAAUGUCUCAGCAGCCUCUGCCACAACAAACACUCCUUUCUACUCACGAGUCGUUUUAUUUAGGGACUAUUGUGUGAACAUUUUAGUUAAAAAGAACUUGCUGGUAUCUCAUUGUACUUGGCCUGUAAUUGUGGCAAUAUCAGAUUUUUUACUUUACUUUUCCCUGAAAUUAUUCUUAAUUUUUCCUAUUUCCUAAUACAUCUGAAUAUUUCAGCACCCCCUGCCAGUACAAGACCAUCUACAACUGAGUCUCAAACAGCAGCACCUAUAGGUACGUAAUCUGUAUGUAAAGUUGUCUGAAUACUUAAGUAGGAAACAUGUUUAUUAUUUUACGCUAAUACUAAUUUACAAAAUGCCCCAUUAGCCUCUGUCACUACAAACUCUCCAUCAACUGUGUCUCCAACAUCAGCUCCUUCAACCUCUGCCACAACAAACUCUCCAUCAUCAAUUGUGUCUCCAACAUCAGCUCCUUCAACAUCUUCUGCCAGUACAAACUCCACAACUCAAACAGCAGAACCUACAAGUAAGUAAUAUAUACUGUAUGCACAUAUGUUGUCUGAAUAAAUGUUAUUCAACGUUUUACUGUUUGGGUGUCUAUGUAAACUAUAAUAAUUGUCACAUAAUAAUCA
rnacentral:lncRNA from 1 species